UUUCAGUCGUUAUCAACAGGUAUCUCUUGAGCAGGCGGGGAAGAUCUCUUCUUUCCACCAUCAUUCAUAGUAGGCUCUACAAUAGCGAUCAGACAAGCCAAUGCAUCCGCCUUGAUCCUCUUUACCUCAUCUUUCGGGAGCAGUCCACCUUACUUCCAACGAAGAGAACUAAGCAGCUAACGCCAUUCACGGUACUCAG
rnacentral:lncRNA from 1 species